rnacentral:rRNA from 1 species
CGCGCAGGCGGUCUUGUCCGUCAGGUGUGAAAGCUCGGGGCUCAACCCCGGAAGUGCACUUGAAACAGCAAGACUUGAAUACGGGAGAGGAGAGAGGAAUUCCUGGUGUAGAGGUGAAAUUCGUAGAUAUCAGGAGGAACACCGAUGGCGAAGGCAUCUCUCUGGACCGACAUUGACGCUGAGGCGCGAAGGCGUGGGUAGCGAACG